rnacentral:scRNA from 1 species
UGUCUGUCUUUUAUUAUUAAUUUGUCCAUUUAAAUGGGAGAGAGGGCUGGAGGCCCCGAUCAGCCCAGGAGGAUUGUGGUCAGGACUGCUGGGAGCCAAGCACCCCUGUUUUCCUCCUCACACAUUU